UUGAAUAAAGAAUCUAGAACCAGAAAAAUGGGUAAACAGUUGUUGUGCUCUAUUUUCAAUUGCUACCUUGGAUCUUUUCUGUGAAACACAAUUCAAUAGAACUAAAAAUAGUGAACAAACUAAAUAAGGUAACAAAUAAACACAAAUACAAGUAAAAAUACAUAUAAAUGUACUUGAAACCGCUCACUUUCCUAAUAGUCACCCAAAUAAUCCCAUUCAGCUUGGUCACAAAUUUCUUUAGGCUUAUUUGCUUCCCUAUGAGCCAUUGCUUGGUCUAGAUACUCCUUGUAGUAUGUGUGCAACUUAUAUUGAAACUCGUUAAAGGAAGUGGCUAUUGAUUUCUCCGUGAACUCUUUAAGAGUUACAUAUUUAUCAUAAUGUAUGUCAAAAACAGCCUAUAUAAAACAAUAUAUAGUGAGUGAAAAGAGAUAUAAUAAUAAGAGCUUGAAAUAAUACAUAACAAGAGAGUUUACUAAGCAUUGCGGAAAGUUCAAGUAUGUUCCAUGCAAGUUUUUAUCUCCAGUCAACAUCUCUCCCUUUCUUUUAGAACUUAUUACAUUUGAACCAUUAGAUUGACCAAGAUUUGAAAGUGUUAUUUCCAUAAUUGUUUUCACCCUUUUGCUUCGUAUUUCAUGAAAAUAUUUCAUAACCUCAAUCACAAGAUCAAAUAGCAUAAAUUAAUCAAAAAAAUUCAAGUCUAACAAAUGUCUAGGAUAUUUUUUUUGUCCAAUGUAGUUCUUUAUGCUUGUAUAACAACAUGAGAAGCAUAUGUACAAUAAAUAGAAAAAAAAUUAGAAAUAGAGAUAUUAUCCUCAUUUUAUAAAUUAAAUAAAACGAAUUUAAAUGAAUGCAAAUUGGUUUGCUUUCAUAUAGUUCUAUAAGUUCUGUUUAUAAGCAACCUAAAUGUAUGAAUGUAGUUUUAAGAAGUUCAACAUUAACGUCAUCUCCACUUUGUCAUAAAUAGGGGACUUUUCAGAUUCAGUCACAUCUUUCCAAAAGGUCUUUUGGAGAAGUGCAAAUAUUCGAACACCAGAUCUUAUUUCAGAUACAAAUCGACUAGCAUUAGGACCAAUAAGUCACCCAUCAAUGUCUUCAUAAAUGAUUUCCAGCUUUCUAUGAGUGGCCUUAACUAUCUGGGACGUGCCUAUUCCACGAGUAUGAUCGCAAUGCCUACGCUUGAGUGGUGGUGGUGCAUGUAAUAAAUGAAUAUGAUGUUAAUUUUAAAAAAAUUAUUUAGAACUGAAUAAAUAGAUUUGCCUUUCUCCAUGGGUGUAGUAGCUAGUGUAGGCUGGAUGGCAGUUGCAGGCUGCAUUAUAGGUUCAAGUUGAGUGCAAAGUACAGUGUUCAACUAUGUUCUAAGACUAGUCACACUGAUUGGGUGCGGUGGCUUCCUCUUUGGUGGCAUUGGAAUAACCUACUAGUUAUUCAAACUAACAUUAAAGAUAAACACGUGACUAACAAAAAGACAAACACGGGAAAUUUUGAUCACUCUAGCUAAGCAUUUAAACAUAUUUCCCUUCGUUCGAUAACUGGAGACAAACCUACUUGCUUAAUGUGUUUAUGCUUCUGCUUGAUGAUGGCAUUCAAAUAAUUAUGAUCACAUAAUAACUAAUAAACUUCAACAAGACACAAACAAAUACUAAGGAAAUACAUGAUAUGGAGUAAAUACUUUUGCAAACUAUAUAUGAACCACCAGAAAUGAUUUGUAGAAAUUCAGAUGUUGAAGGACAACAUCAUAUGCAUUUGGCACUUUUCUUCCUCAUAAUGGUAAAUGAGAAUCUCAGUUUCUACACUAGGCCAUUAUCAAAGAAAUUAUUGUUCUUUCAAAUUUUCUUAGAUAUAUUACUAAUAGAAGAAUCCAAAUAGUUCAAUUUUAAGAUGACAACCAACAAAUUUUAUUUACAUCUUAAGACAUAACCCACAUUUACCUAUAUGUUGGAUGGUUACUCAAGAUGAUUAAAUUAUAUUGUAAUCUGGACAUUUUGGCAUUAACACUGGAGGGUGAUUAAAACAAUAAUUCAAGAUUAUUAAAUUAGUAACAUAAUGAUUAAACUGUGCCUGAUUUUGUAGUAAUUAGCUGGUCUGUUGUCUUCAUCCUCUUAGAAGAUAGAGAUGAUGGCCACGCUGUCUAAACCAUACUAAAUACAACUUGUAGCACGGGGAGGAUGAGUUAUCAAAAAUUAUGAUGGAAAAGUUCAGGAGGCCUUUUAUGACUUACAAGAGUUGGCGAAGUGCUCAAUCUUGGAGGCAAAAUUAACAGCACACAACACUGGAUUACAACUAUAAGAUGGUGACAAAAAUAUAGAGGUCUUUGUUUAUAUGCAAUUUUUUUCCAAUGGAUUGCAGGGGAGGAUACGGAGUUGUGGCCAUGAGUUGUCUAAACCUAAAUCCACAUAUUCUUUGCUACAACAGACUACUAAAAAACACCAUCCUCUGUAGUUAUUUUGCUACUCUAGCAUAUUAUAAAUAAAUAAAAAAACUCUAACCACAAGCAAAUGGGUUCAAAUUGUACACAAAAGACAAUAGAAAUUAAUGAUAUUUUCCAAACACAUACUUAUUAAACAAAGAUAACCACAAUUGGUAAUAUGAGGGAUAGAAUCGACAGUGUAAUUUGUUGAAAGAAAAAAUUGGGGAUGAAUAAACAAUUAUAGGUAAAUCAAUUGUACAAGUCACAGAAAAGUUCACCCCAGUAAAAGAAACUUUUCAUAGUAAUGGAGUUGCCUCAUAUAAUGAUUUCAGAUUCCAAUUCUUUACUAAAUUCAAAACACGUGCGCGCACGCACACACAAAUAAUUUUCAAGAACUUCUGCUAAAAAAAUGUAAAAAGUUGAAGAUUGUGCAUUUAUGCAAAUAAUUGAUCAGUACACAUAAAAUGGAAACAAAACAGAGCAUAAUGAACGAAUUACUAGAAAAACUCAAAAGAAAUUAUUUAGGGAAUAGAGUUAAGGAUAACCUAUGACCCGAAACCUGCGAGUGUUGGAAUAUCCUGAGCUCUUGUGCACAUUCAGAGCAAACUAGUGGGCAUGGAAGAUGAUGUGUACAAUUUCGGUAUGACUCGACCAUCCACGACCUCAUGCUCGAGGUCAUGAUAACCUCGAGCACUCUCCUAGGGCUAGAACAUCCCUAAGCUUAUAUUGUCGGGCUCGAAGUCAAUAGCCCGAUCUUGUUUUCCCAUAUUUAC
rnacentral:lncRNA from 1 species